AGAGUUUGAUCAUGGCUCAGAUUGAACGCUGGCGGCAGGCCUAACACAUGCAAGUCGAGCGGGGGAAGGUAGCUUGCUACCGGACCUAGCGGCGGACGGGUGAGUAAUGCUUAGGAAUCUGCCUAUUAGUGGGGGACAACAUCUCGAAAGGGAUGCUAAUACCGCAUACGUCCUACGGGAGAAAGCAGGGGAUCUUCGGACCUUGCGCUAAUAGAUGAGCCUAAGUCGGAUUAGCUAGUUGGUGGGGUAAAGGCCUACCAAGGCGACGAUCUGUAGCGGGUCUGAGAGGAUGAUCCGCCACACUGGGACUGAGACACGGCCCAGACUCCUACGGGAGGCAGCAGUGGGGAAUAUUGGACAAUGGGGGGAACCCUGAUCCAGCCAUGCCGCGUGUGUGAAGAAGGCCUUAUGGUUGUAAAGCACUUUAAGCGAGGAGGAGGCUACUUUAGUUAAUACCUAGAGAUAGUGGACGUUACUCGCAGAAUAAGCACCGGCUAACUCUGUGCCAGCAGCCGCGGUAAUACAGAGGGUGCAAGCGUUAAUCGGAUUUACUGGGCGUAAAGCGCGCGUAGGCGGCUAAUUAAGUCAAAUGUGAAAUCCCCGAGCUUAACUUGGGAAUUGCAUUCGAUACUGGUGAGCUAGAGUAUGGGAGAGGAUGGUAGAAUUCCAGGUGUAGCGGUGAAAUGCGUAGAGAUCUGGAGGAAUACCGAUGGCGAAGGCAGCCAUCUGGCCUAAUACUGACGCUGAGGUACGAAAGCAUGGGGAGCAAACAGGAUUAGAUACCCUGGUAGUCCAUGCCGUAAACGAUGUCUACUAGCCGUUGGGGCCUUUGAGGCUUUAGUGGCGCAGCUAACGCGAUAAGUAGACCGCCUGGGGAGUACGGUCGCAAGACUAAAACUCAAAUGAAUUGACGGGGGCCCGCACAAGCGGUGGAGCAUGUGGUUUA
rnacentral:rRNA from 1 species